AUUGAACGCUGGCGGCAGGCCUAACACAUGCAAGUCGAGCGGAGGAAGGGAGCUUGCUCCUGGAUUCAGCGGCGGACGGGUGAGUAAUGCCUAUGAAUCUGCCUGGUAGUUGGGGAUAACGUCCGGAUACGGGCGCUAAUACCGCAUACGUCCUGAGGGAGAAAGUGGGGGAUCUUCGGACCUCACGCUAUCAGAUGAGCCUAGGUCGGAUUAGCUAGUUGGGGGGGUAAAGGCCUACCAAGGCGACGAUCCGUAACUGGUCUGAGAGGAUGAUCAGUCACACUGGAACUGAGAAACGGCCCCGACUCCUACGGGGGGAAGCAGUGGGGACUCUUGCGCAAUGCGCGAAAGCCUGAUCCAGGCCAGCCGCGUGUGUGAAGAAGGUCUUCGGCUUGUAAAGCACUUUAAGUUGGAAGGAAGGGCAGUAAGUUCAUACCUUGCUGUUUUGACGUUACCAACAGAAUAAGCACCGGCUAACUUCGUG
rnacentral:rRNA from 1 species